ACCCGGAGCAUCCAUAGCCAGCACGCAUUUAGACAAAGCACAAAUAAUACUGCACGUAACAUCCAUUUGAAAGGCAGUUUGAAGGCGGUUUCCUCAAAGGAAACGCGGGCUAAAAAUCCAUUGGAUAGAUAAUUUUCCAGAGAUAGUUCACCUAGUUCGUUAGGCAUGUAGGAUAGCUGGCAACAGAGCGUGACAGCUGAAGACUUGAAGCUGAACGAAGUCCAGGCAGAACUGCACAAAGCAGCAGAUGGAGCACAACUCUCCAGCGCUGCAGCCUGGUCGUGACGCUGUGCAGAAAAUGUCAGGAGUGUACUGCUACAGGUUUGCAGCUUUGUCACUGGCAAACCAGUCGUUUAGGAGCUCCCAGUAAUGCCCAGCUUGCUGACUAACACAUUGCCCAACUUAGCUUGAGGGAAAGCACAGUACCAGCCACGUGUGCUGUUAGCCCCAACACGUUUCCAAGCUCUGGCCAACAUAAGUGAAGUUUCCAAGUCCCAAAUUUUAGCAGUGCCUGCAGCACACUGCCACUAACAGUACCAGCACCUUGGCCAGAGGGUAGGGCACUGCUUCCAGGCAAGCAGGACUUCCCCGCUCAUCUGAGUGCAGGUAUCUGGCAGGAGAAAAUCUGGAAUGGGAGGAAGAGUGAAGUUCAAAGAGGUGGGAUACUGAAGAAUGUUGUGCCUGAACAUGCAGAAUGAAAGGAGUUUGACUUCCCACCAGCCCCUCACUUUAGUGCUAUUGUCCCAAGACACGCUUCCACGCAGCAGGGAAUGGCCUUGCAGGAACACCAGAUGCCUGGGUGUACUACGCUUUGGAUCAAACCUUCUUAAGGUGAGGAUGGUUGUUGUUAGCAAGAGGCACGAGGUGCGGCCACAUGGCAGCGCCAGGCAGCUGCCUCUGCCAGCAGACCUUUGUGGCGUCAGCCUGGCCAGAGAGGUAAACAUCAUGCCAGAGGCAGCGGCAGAAAGGUUCGGUGAGAACGUGGCAGCUCUGGGUGCAAAUAUCACUUCCUUAUUGCAGCCUCCGUGAGCGGCCCUGCCUUGCAAAACUGAGAAUGUUUUGAAUGGCAGAGCCCAGGCAGUGAAUCAUCUUAUAAUCGUGGCUGGUGUGUCCCAGCCUCCAUGUAUCAUCAACUCCUCCUCUGGGUCAAGCAAUCAUUUGAGGGUGAAUCAUUGCUGCACAGGUUUCUCCCAGCGCAGGCAGGCGUGCAGAGAGCAGAGCUGCUUGCCAUCUGCAUCAGACAGGCCAACAGGGCUGCGGGAGAGACUGAGUAAGCUGAGGGAAAGAGCAGCAAAUCCAGAGCGGGAAGACAGACAGAACAGUUGCUUCCUCUGCAGACAAGAUGGAGGCUGAAAUGGUGGUAUGUGGACUUUUCUGUUUUCUCCCAGUUCAGUACCCGUGCCCCAGAGCUCGUGCUGCUUGAAGGAGCCAUGUUCCAACAUCAGUCCAAGCCAGGCCAGGCCCCACACUGCCUGCCCAGGCCUCAGGAGGCUAAAGGCAACUCUCAUUCUUGUCUGGGCCAGACACAGCUGAAUUGGAAGUCAUUAAGAUCGUUAUAAUGAGCUUCAGUGGAUCCUUUCAAUUGGAGGCGUUCUUUAGCCAGCUCUCAUUUUCGUGGUUACAUCUGAAUAAGCAGUAUGCAUUGAGGUGAGGUUCACAGAUGAGACAGUCUGGCAUAAAAGCAGACUCCUACUUGCAAAAGCAAGGUGUCAUUACGCAUCAUGUUUCACCAGACUUCAAAAUGCCAAGGAAGGCAAAUCAGGUUAUAACCGGCUCCACCUACGACUUGUAGGAGCUGCAAGGUUAUUCCCAUGGACUGGCACUUGGGAAAGGUCAGCCGUGACCUCACACAGGGCAGCCCUUUCUCAGCAGCCGCUGUUUUGGAGCCUUUCACCGGUCCGUGUGAGUAACCCCCAGAAGUGGAUGUCAACGCAUCUCAAUUCCUCUCUCGGUAAAGAGGAAGGGGCAGGGGGCCAGCAGACCCAGGAGCACCUUGCCCAGGAAACAGGAGAACCGUGCUGACCUAGUGAAGGUGCUGGCAGAGCCCUGGGCUGCUGGCCUCCGCUCCGAUGGAAUAUCAUGCAGACGUGAGGCUGUGCUGGCCUGGGCGCUGUGUUCGGAGCCCUCUGGAGAGGAGGGACUGGCCAGUCCUGGGUGUGUUCUUAGCCACGCUUCUUUGUAGGGCCUUUAAAUGAGAAGGGAUUAAGUGUCCCUUUAGUUGUGGGUACCUCAGUUCCCUGCUCAUAAAUGCAAAUAAAGGUACUUCUCCCA